rnacentral:rRNA from 1 species
AUGUUUGCAAGCUCACUCUCCAAGAAGGCCUCCUUUUGCUUUGAUUCCUCGACUUUCCUUUGGAGUUCUGCUUCUUUUUGUUCAUUCUCUGCAAGGAUGAUUUCUAACGCUCUCUCCCUCUCUUCUCUCGCAUUGCCAUCUCUUCUGCUUGCUGGUUCAUUUCGUCUACUCAUGCUCUCUCGCCUAGCAGUACCUCUUGGUCCAUUGCUUACUCUGCGAGGGGUUGGACUUCUCUGCGAUGUUAACUCGGAAGCAAGCUUCUCAUUUUGGUUCAUGAGUUUGGUCACUUCUUCUGACAACGCUUUCAAUUCCACUCCUGCAGCCGAAGCCAAGCCUUUUGCAUAUGUACUUUCCUCUAAUAGCUUCUGA